rnacentral:rRNA from 1 species
AACGAACGCUGGCGGUAUGCCUAACACAUGCAAGUCGAACGCGAACUUCCGGUCCAGUGGCGCAGGGGUGCGUAACACGCGGGAACAUGCCCUUUGGGUCGGAAUAACUCCACGAAAGGGGUGCUAUUACCGGCUAAUGUCUUCGGACCAAAGAUUUAUAGUCCUUGGAUGGGCCCGCGUUGCAGUAGCUAGUUGGUAGGGUAAAAGACUACACAGACGACGCUCCAUAGAUCGUCUGUGAGGAUGAUCAGCCACACGCGGACUGAGACACAGAGCAGACUCCUACGGGAGGCAGCAGUGGGUAAUAUUGGAUGGUGGGCGGAAGGCUGAUCCAGCAAUGCCGGGUGGAUGAUGAAGGCCGUAGGGUUGUAAAGCUCUUUUACCCGAGAUGAUAAUGACAGUACCGGGGGAAUAAGCUCCGGCUAACUCCGUG